rnacentral:rRNA from 1 species
CCUACGGGGGGCAGCAGUGGGGAAUAUUGCACAAUGGGGGAAACCCUGAUGCAGCAACGCCGCGUGAGCGAUGAAGGCCUUCGGGUCGUAAAUCUCUGUCCUAAGGGGCGAGUACUGACGGUACAUUAGGAGGGAGCUUGGGCGAACUACGUGCCAGCAGCCGGGGUAAUACGUGGGGGGCUAGCGUUGUCCGGAAUUACUGGGCGUAAAGGGUGCGUAGGCGGGCCUUAAAGUCAGAGGUGAAGGGCUACGGCUCAACCGUAGUAAGCCUUUGAAACUGUAGGGCUAGAGUGCAGGAGAGGAGAGUGGAAUUCCCAGUGUAGCGGUGAAAUGCGUAGAUAUUGGGAGGAACACCAGUUGCGAAGGCGGCUCUCUGGACUGUAACUGACGCUGAGGCACGAAAGCGUGGGGAGCGAACAGGAUUAGAUACCCUUGUAGUC